rnacentral:misc_RNA from 1 species
UAGAGCCGUAUACGGCGAGAGUCGUACGUACGAUUCUCUUGGUAAGGAGACCAUAAUUAGUGAAACCAAGAAU